rnacentral:rRNA from 1 species
AGCGAACGCUGGCGGCAGGCCUAACACAUGCAAGUCGAACCGAGCCCUUCGGGGCUAGUGGCGGACGGGUGAGUAACACGUGGGAACGUGCCUUUUGGUUCGGAACAACUCAGGGAAAACUUGAGCUAAUACCGAAUGUGCCCUUCGGGGAAAGAUUUAUCGCCAUUAGAGCGGCCCGCGUCUGAUUAGCUAGUUGGUGA